AAUGAAAAAUGUGUAUUUUUCCUCUCAAGUUUCAUGUAUCAGUUGUUUGUGACAUUUAACCCUACGUUUGGUGAAUGUACUGAAAGGGCAGGAGGAGAAAGCAAAGAGAGGCUCUUCAUGUCUUUUUGCUUUAUGUCUCUGUUUUUAAGAGAAUCAGGAAACGAAAAUAUUUGGUGCUCUGCCAACUAUUAAUGAAGGCUGUCUUGCUAAAACAGAAGUGCUUUGAAAAAAGGCUACUGGCUCACAUCCUAUCAUUUCUUUCCUCAGAAACUCUCAUGGCUCUCUGUUACCUAUAAAAUGAAGUCACACUCUUUAUCCUGCCAUUGAAGACCUCUCAUAACAUGGCCUCAACUUAGAGUUUCAGCUCUACAUUCCUCUCAUCCUCUAUUCUAUUUGAGAAUCCACCGCUUCAAUCUGUUUUCUACGCCAGAGCCCAAGUUUUCUUAAAAACUCACAUUUGGAUUCCCCUGGCACUUGGCCUAAAGACUCACACCCUUGACAUGGACAUCACGACUCAUAGUCUGGCUCCUGCCUCCUUUUCCAGGCCAUCUUGUACCACUCUUCAUUCUCCGUGUCCAGCCACAUGACCUUGUCCACAACUUCAUCCUUGCCACAGCCCUUCCCACACAGGGCAUUGAGCACAUUGUCUUCUUUGCUUGGACCUCUUUCCACCCCUCUUGUAGAUCUCAGCCCCACUAUCAAUUCUUUAGGAAAAUUUUCCCCAACUCCCCAGUUGAGGUCAGGUUGUUUUGACAACCGUUCUAAUAGAACACUUUCCUUGAGAACAUUUAUCCCUCAUUAUAACUAUACAUCCAUUCCUUUGAUUAUCUGACCAAAGCCUGCCUUCUCCAUCUGAGUGGAAGCUCCAUGAGAAUACAGAGGGUGUCUGUUUUUGCUCACAACUUUGUUCACCACUUAAUACAAUGUCUUGAACGUAGAAGUAUUCAGUAAUUAUUUUUUAAGUGACUAGAUGAAUCAAACUGGAACAGCUGCUCUCCAAUCAUAUUCAUUGGGUUUCCUUCUCCCAAACUCUGUCAUGCUCUUCACUCCAGGUGCAAAGCUAUACCCACAUUUUAUCCUCUCUACACUUUAUCCAAUUUUAUAGACUCACAGGAAUGGAUACUUCCUUGCCUUUGGAAAUAAACAUCAUCUCUGACUCCUUUGGAAACUGUAGCACUUAGGCAUCUGUUCUCUUGCCAUACUUGGUGUUUUCAAUAGACUUUGCCUCUUAUCCCCUUUAUCAAUUCAUUCGUUUCUGGAGGGCAAGGCUUAUUCAUUUCUCUUUAUAGCACCUUCAAUAAAUAGCUAAUUUCUCAGGUGGUUAAUUAAUAUAUUUUCCCUAUUGCUUAAUAUGGGUAAAAGCUAAAGGUUUUAUAAGCUUAUUAUAAGCUGAAUUAAUUUAUGGCAAACUCAAAAAGAAAACGGGAGGUGGCCAAUUUAAGCUGAAAGAAAGUUUCAAAACAAUAUAUGUAUACACAGAAAAAUCAAACAAAUCUAACAUUUUCUCAUGCUUGGUGUAAUUCUCAAGAAUGAAGAUCCCCUGAGUCAUGUUCUGAACCCAUCACCAAAGGUAGCAGGAGACAAUACUAUAUAUACAAUAACAUUCAGAAAAGUGGAGAGCUACUCAAUGAUUGUAUAUGCCUAUGUUUCCUUAUCCAAUGGAAGAGAAAAUUGUCCACAAUAGUGAUGUUCUUUCUGGGUUCUACAUACAAACCCAUCCAGUAAUAAAUGUGUGUGAAUUCUGUGAGUGGCUGACAAAAAUAAAAAUUAUAGAAUCAAGGGAAAAUUAUUGGUCUUUGUUAGUUCUACCAAGUAAACUAACUUACUAAACAGCAGUACAGACAUGGUUCCCAGAACAAAUGCCUUCUGUUCUGACCAUUUAUUGUUAUUUAAUAAGUUUAUUUGUUGUAGGUGGCAAAAAUAAUUCUAGAAUUGUUAGCUUCAACUUGCUUUUUUCUUUCUGCUAUCUGUUGCUAACCAAAUUACAAUGAAGACCAACUGAUAUUUCAGUAGAAUUAUUAUUUUCCUUUCUCUCUACAGAGUUAAGAUAAACUUUUUCAUAGAAUGGAGCAUUGGAUAGGUGUUAAACAACUAAUUUGAGAGAGGUGGCAGGAUGGAUUUGGAUGGCAGUGUAUGACAUGGGUUGAACUAAACACCUGAAGACCAGGGGACCUGUUGUUAAGAAUAAAUUGUCACUGUUCACAAACAAAAUGAAAAAUUAAAAAGAAAAUUUUGAAAGGGGAGCCUGGGUAGCUUAAUUGGUUGAACAUUCGACUCUUAAUUUCAUCUCAGGACAUGAUCUCAGGAGCCCUGCAUCAGUCUGUGUGCUGAAAGCUGGGAGCCUGCUUGGGGGUCUCUCUCCUCCCCUCUCUCUGCCCCUACCCAGCUUGUGCACACACACACAUACACACACACACACACUCUCUCUCUCUCUCUCUCUCUCUCAAAAUAAAUAAACUUUAAAAAAUUUUGGAAAAAGCUCCAUAAGAAACCAGCAAUUGGUUGUGACUUUUCAAUGCUUGAAAGAAAAAAAAAAAAAACCCAAAAAGUCAACUGUAUUUUCAAAGGGUGAAUUCUCCUCAUACUCCCCUAGGCUCAUUUCUAGUUUUUGACUCUGGGCUAAUGGGUGCAGUUCUGCCACAAAGCUAACAUUUGUCUCUUUGUUGUCCCACCACAUCUGUAUGGACAUUCUGGAGGCCUCUACAUUUAAGUAGAGAACUGCUGGGAAUCUCUAUGCCCCCAAAUACUAGAAAUAAGUGCAGGUGAAUUAACUUCUUUGAACAUUUAUUGAGUACCUGGCAUGUGCUGGGUUUUCUACCAGGUACCAGAAAGUCAAAGGUGAGCAAGAAAUCACUCUUGCUGUGAAAAAAAACCUCACAGUUUGGUGGAGUAGGUAGGAAUCAUUCUUAGGUAAGGCAUCAUUCUUAGGUAAUAAACACCAUUCUUAGGUAAGACAGACUACAGACAGAGCUAGAAGACAAAGUGCCAUGGGAGCACAAAAGAGAGAUACCAGUUGUCGCUGUGGGGCUUGUCGAGGGGAGUAUUCAGAUUCCCAGGUGACUCAGCUGAAAGGAAACUACAUCUGGAAACAGAGGCAGCUGCGAAGAACAGAAGAGUCGCCAGUACCUGGAUGCUGGUCAGAGUCGUGUACUGGUAGGCCUUGACCACCAGGUAAUUUGCUUCCAGGUCGAUGAGUCCCAGGAUCAUAUACUUCCACCACCUUCGUCGUAAAAUUGCCAGGAGGUUUUCUUCUCCUGUGUUAUGAAGUCACCACGAUAGGAGGUGAAGACCUUUUCAACAUUAUGAAGACUCGUAAAACAAAGCUUUCCAGCUACAUGGAUAAUGUCAGAGUGUGGGUUGUGUCUGGCUGGCAACAAGGAAGGAGAGGUCCCUGGACCUUUGGGAAGCUAACCCAGUUUUCAAGCCUUAUUUCGGAUGCUACACUUCUCAUAUCCUUUGCUCCAAACACACUAAAAAUCUCUCUCAGUGAAUUGCUAAUUCUUGUUCAUCCUACAAAGUUUAGUUAUUCUCUCCCAUUUUGUCUGAUACCACUGCCCCCUAGGUAAUGUGUACCCAGCUCUGAAUAGUCUUUUCACAUGAUUGCAAUUACUUAGAAAUUGUCUCUUCACUAAACUAGGAAUUUGGGGAUGGUAAGACAUCAAUGUCUUACUCAUACAUGUAUCCACAGCACUUAGCAUACUGACAUAUACUAAGGAUUAGCUAAGUGUUUUGGAAUGAACAAAUAAUUGAACUGAAAAAAGUGUGAAGUGCUAUCUCUCUGAAUAUGUCAAGAGCCAGCUCUAGAAUAUGAGUCACAUUUCUUAGUGUUUUGCACUUAGAUUCAUAGCUGGUAGAUGUGAUCCCCAAGGUUAUUUCCUCCCAGCCAGCUCAUUUUGGCAAUGCCCUCGCACAGCAUUUCUGCCUUUCUUACUUGCCUACACAUUUGAUAAAUCAACACACCUCUCAAUUUAUUUUGUAAAUUAGUGAUUCACAACUUCACUGAAUAUUCCCAUCUUCUUGAGAGAUUUUUAAAAAUUUCAAUGUCUGGGACCAGUCCCCCCAAAUUCUGAUGUAAUUAUCUUUGGGUGGGGCCAGAGCAUUGAGCUGAGGAUCAAAUCUAAGACUUUCAAAUGGUUGGUGUCCAAUGGCAAUGCUCAGGAUGACCUCAGCUAGGAACUCCAAAGAGGUAUAACCACAGACGAUUGAAGACUCUUCAUACCAAAGAAACAUCUGAACAUCUGGCCUAAAGUAUGCUUUCCCUUGUCUUGUCUCUGGGCUUUUCCUUGUGCUGAUUCCUCUGUUUGGACUAUUCUUCCUCAGUCUCCAAAUGAAGGAUCAGCA